rnacentral:lncRNA from 1 species
CGGACCUUUCUGCUCACUCUAUCGAGCCUGACCUUUGGUUGGAACCCCCACCGUACGGAAUGACGACAGUCUCUGAUGAGCCGAAGGCUUGGAAGGAACCUCCAUCAUGCGAGGCGACCACGAUCUUUGAGGAGCCAAAGGCUUGGAUGGAACCUCCAUCAUACGAAGUGGUAACCAGCCCUAAGGCAGAAGAGGCUCCAAGCCGUGCAAUGUUAGAGGCAUUUCACCAAUUCCAGCACAAUCCUGCGGUUCA